CUGUUGUAGCCAGCGAAUGUUUUAUUUGGUAGCUAUAUACUGAUGAAUCUAUCAUAAGACACACGCGGCUAUAACAG
rnacentral:pre_miRNA from 1 species